UCACUCCCCUGGCCCCACACCCAAUUUUGUGGCACUGAAAUGUAUUUGUGGUUCAUUUUGCCACCCUUUCGCCAGCAAGUUUAAAAGUAAUAAAUCCUGUUUCUAUACUAUUAAUAGUUUUCCUUAAAGAGGUAGUUUUGAAAUUAUAACUCUCUAAGUGUCAAGCACUAAUGAGUAUCUACCAUUCAUCUCCUUCCAUAUCCCCUUACAAGGUGCUAUGGUCUGAAUGUCUGUGUUCCCUUAAAUUCAUACACUGACGCCUAAUGCCCAUUGUGACAGUAUUAGAAAGUAGGGCCUUUGGGAGGCAAUUGGGAGGACCUCCUUUGGGAGGUCAUGAAGGCCCUACCCUCAUAACUGGUAUUACGAAGAGACAUCUGAAGAGCUAGUUAGCUCCUUCCACCAUGUAAGAACACAGCAAGAAGGCACCAUGUAUGAACCAGAGAGCAAAAGCUCUCACCACACACCGAAACUGCCGGUGACUUGAUCGUGAACUUCCCAGCCUCCAGAACUCUACAGAGCAGCAUCUGAAGAGCCACGGGGCCCCCACCUUCAUCCCUGAGAAUUUUAGGAGCCAGCCUGCCUUUCCAGGUGACACUGGACACUUUCAUCUGAGAACCCUGUCACAUGACAGUUGUUUCCUUUCUUCCUCCUCUCCUGGGAAUGCUGCUGCUUCGAUGACCCAAGAGCCUAAGAAGGGUAGCUGUUUCUCAAUACACUGAGAGAGAGUUCUUUCUCCGUCCUGACCAUCUUGGGACCCGAUGGCAAGACUGGAAGGAUUUAUAUCUCCUUUUGUACAGAAAACUGCCUCCCCAUGUUGGUUUGUGAAGUGAAAUGCAUAUAAAACAGAGGAUUCCAGACUCUCAGAAGUCAAUACAUAAAUAAAUAAAAAUAAAACUGAGAAGAUACCUCAAAAUGGUCAGACUCAUUAGCAUCAUCCAGGUGUAUUUUCUCUUCAAACAGUGUCAGUGGGUCUCUAAUAAAGAGAUGAGCAACAUGCUGGGCCAGGAGAUGAUCAAUGCCUGCAAAAAGAGAUCACAUGGGAACUCACUGCAAAGCGAGAGAUACCACUUCCUCUUAGUCCAGAAAGACGACAGGAUAGCUCAGGAAGUUUGAAGAAAGGGUGUCUAGAAGCUUGAAAUAGCUGGUUUGAUUAGUAUCCUCACCUCACCCAGUAUUUUAUCCUGCGGACACUGCGGGAGUGUCAGCGUUUUAUUCACUACUUACACAAUGCCUGCUGGGGCACUGGUGUGGACCUAGACACAGACCUCCAAAGUAAGCUCCUUUUGCUAAAAAUCAAGAAAAUCUCACAAGUAUUUGGAACCUGAAACUUUAGGAACAAGUAGCCUCAUGAGAGAAGUUAAAGACUUUGCACUAAAAAUAGAAACCAGACCAGGAGUCAGCAAAAAAGUGUAAAAGAGCUUUGAAGAACUAAAGGCGUACAUUCAAACCCAGAAAGAUGGAGUAGAAACCCACCUUCCUGCAACAGCUGUUCGUAGAUCUCUUUAUCUAUCGUCAA
rnacentral:lncRNA from 10 species